AUUGAACGCUGGCGGCAGGCCUAACACAUGCAAGUCGAACGAGUGGCAGACGGGUGAGAUAUGUCUGGGAAAGCGUGAGAUGGAGGGGGAAAACUUGUGGAAACGGUAUAUUACACCGUAUUAUAUCGGGUGCGCACAGAUGGGAUUCGCUUGUAGGGGGGUUAACGGCUCACCUAGGCGACGAUCCCUAGCUGGUCUGAGAGGAUGACCAGCCACACUGGAACUGAGACACGGUCCAGACUCCUACGGGAGGCAGCAGUGGGGAAUAUUGCACAAUGGGCGCAAGCCUGAUGCAGCCAUGCCGCGUGUAUGAAGAAGGCCUUCGGGUUGUAAAGUACUUUCAGCGAGGAGGCGUUACCCGCAGAAGAAGCACCGGCUAACUCCGUGCCAGCAGCCGCGGUAAUAC
rnacentral:rRNA from 1 species